rnacentral:rRNA from 1 species
AGUGAACGCUGGCGGUAGGCCUAACACAUGCAAGUCGAACGGCAGCACAGUAAGAGCUUGCUCUUACGGGUGGCGAGUGGCGGACGGGUGAGGAAUACAUCGGAAUCUACUUUUUCGUGGGGGAUAACGUAGGGAAACUUACGCUAAUACCGCAUACGACCUACGGGUGAAAGCAGGGGAUCUUCGGACCUUGCGCGAUUGAAUGAGCCGAUGUCGGAUUAGCUAGUUGGCGGGGUAAAGGCCCACCAAGGCGACGAUCCGUAGCUGGUCCGAGAGGAUGAUCAGCCACACUGGAACUGAGACACGGUCCAGACUCCUACGGGAGGCAGCAGUGGGGAAUAUUGGACAAUGGGCGCAAGCCUGAUCCAGCCAUACCGCGUGGGUGAAGAAGGCCUUCGGGUUGUAAAGCCCUUUUGUUGGGAAAGAAAAGCGGCAGGUUAAUACCCCGCUGUUCUGACGGUACCCAAAGAAUAAGCACCGGCUAACUUCGUG